rnacentral:rRNA from 1 species
GCCGUUGUAUUCUGAAGUUAGGGUCCUGAGAAACGAUGCUUAAGUCUUCUGGAAAGGAGCGCCAUGGAGGGUGAUAGCCCCGUCUAGCAUUGACCUCAUAUAGGAUCUUAACAUGGAGUCGAGUUGUUUGGGAAUGCAGCUCAAAUGGGUGGUAUGCUCCAUCUAAAGCUAAAUAUCUGCGAGAGACCGAUAGUAAACAAGUACUGUGAGGGAAAGAUGAAAAGAACUUUGAAAAGAGAGUGAAAAAGUACGUGAAAUUGUUGAAAUGGAAGGGUAGGCCGCUAACCAUGUAGAGCCGUGUUUGGGGGGAAGAUAAAUGCUGUAGAAUGUAGCUCCUCGGAGUAUUAUAGAUGCAGUUCAUAUUCCCACCCGAGCGCGAGGAUCUCAGGUUCUACUAAAUGGUGGUCUACCACCCGUCUUGAACCACGGACC